GAUGAAGAACGCAGCGAAAUGCGAUAAGUAGUGUGAAUUGCAGAAUUCAGUGAAUCAUCGAAUCUUUGAACGCACAUUGCGCCCUUUGGUAUUCCUUAGGGCACGCCUGUUCGAGCGUCAUUUAAACCUUCAAGCUCAGCUUGGUGUUGGGUGACUGUCCGCUUCACCGCGGACUCGCCUCAAAAUUAUUGGCGGCCGGUACAUUGGCUUCGAGCGCAGCAGAAACGCGAACUCGGGCCCGUCGUAUUGGCUCCCAGAAGCUAUCUUCACAAUUUUGACCUCGGAUCAGGUAGGGAUACCCGCUGAACUUAAGCAUAUCAAUAAGCGGAGGA
rnacentral:misc_RNA from 1 species